rnacentral:rRNA from 1 species
UACGGGGGGGGCAAGCGUUGUUCGGAAUUACUGGGCGUAAAGGGCUCGUAGGCGGCCAACUAAGUCAGACGUGAAAUCCCCGGGCUUAACCCGGGAACUGCGUCCGAUACUGGCAGGCUUGAAUCCGGGAGAGGGAUGUGGAAUUCCAGGUGUAGCGGUGAAAUGCGUAGAUAUCUGGAGGAACACCGGUGGCGAAGGCGGCAUCCUGGACCGGUAUUGACGCUGAGGCGCGAAAGCUAGGGGAGCAAACGGG